AGAGUUUGAUCAUGGCUCAGGAUGAACGCUGGCGGCGUGCCUAAUACAUGCAAGUCGAGCGAACUGAUCAGAAGCCUGCUUCUAUGACGUUAGCGGCGGACGGGUGAGUAACACGUGGGCAACCUGCCUGUAAGACUGGGAUAACUUCGGGAAACCGAAGCUAAUACCGGAUAGGAUCUUCUCCUUCAUGGGAGAUGAUUGAAAGAUGGUUUCGGCUAUCACUUACAGAUGGGCCCGCGGUGCAUUAGCUAGUUGGUGAGGUAACGGCUCACCAAGGCAACGAUGCAUAGCCGACCUGAGAGGGUGAUCGGCCACACUGGGACUGAGACACGGCCCAGACUCCUACGGGAGGCAGCAGUAGGGAAUCUUCCGCAAUGGACGAAAGUCUGACGGAGCAACGCCGCGUGAGUGAUGAAGGCUUUCGGGUCGUAAAACUCUGUUGUUAGGGAAGAACAAGUACGAGAGUAACUGCUCGUACCUUGACGGUACCUAACCAGAAAGCCACGGCUAACUACGUGCCAGCAGCCGCGGUAAUACGUAGGUGGCAAGCGUUAUCCGGAAUUAUUGGGCGUAAAGCGCGCGCAGGCGGUUUCUUAAGUCUGAUGUGAAAG
rnacentral:rRNA from 1 species